rnacentral:rRNA from 1 species
UACGAAGGGAGCUAGCGUUACUCGGAAUCACUGGGCGUAAAGCGCAUGUAGGCGGAAUUAUAAGUCAGGGGUGAAAUCCCAAGGCUCAACCUUGGAAUUGCCUUUGAAACUGUAACACUUGAGUAUGGUAGAGGAUAGUGGAAUUUCCAGUGUAGAGGUGAAAUUCGUAGAUAUUGGAAAGAACACCAGUGGCGAAGGCGGCUAUCUGGACCAUUACUGACGCUGAGAUGCGAAAGCGUGGGGAGCAAACGGG